rnacentral:rRNA from 1 species
UACGGGAGGCAGCAGUGAGGAAUAUUGGUCAAUGGACGGAAGUCUGAACCAGCCAAGUAGCGUGCAGGAUGACGGCCCUAUGGGUUGUAAACUGCUUUUGUAUGGGGAUAAAGUUAGGGACGUGUCCCUAUUUGCAGGUACCAUACGAAUAAGGACCGGCUAAUUCCGUGCCAGCAGCCGCGGUAAU